GUCCCCGUAGUUUAAUGGAUAGAACAGACCCCUCCUAAGGGUCAAAUGAGGGUUCGAUUCCCGCCGGGGACACCA
rnacentral:tRNA from 1 species